rnacentral:misc_RNA from 1 species
GAUGAAGAACGUAGUGAAAUGCGAUAAGUAAUGUGAAUUGCAGAAUUCAGUGAAUCAUCGAAUCUUUGAACGCACAUUGCGCCCGCCAGUAUUCUGGCGGGCAUGCCUGUUCGAGCGUCAUUUCAACCAUCAAGCCCCAGGCUUGUGUUGGGGACCUGCGGCUGCCGCAGGCCCUGAAAACCAGUGGCGGGCUCGCUGUCACACCGGGCGUAGUAGAUUUUAUCUCGCUCAGGGCGUGCUGCGGGUCCCGGCCGUUAAAAGCCUUUUUUUACCCAAGGUUGACCUCGGAUCAGGUAGGAAGACCAGCUGAACUUAAGCAUAUCAAUAAGCGGAGGA